UCCGGAUUUAUUGGGUUUAAAGGGAGCGCAGACGGGAGAUUAAGUCAGUUGUGAAAGUUUGCGGCUCAACCGUAAAUUGCAGUUGAUACUGGUUUCCUUGAGUGCAGUUGAGGCAGGCGGAAUUCGUGGUGUAGCGGUGAAAUGCUUAGAUAUCACGAAGAACCCCGAUUGCGAAGGCAGCUUGCUAAACUGUAACUGACGUUCAUGCUCGAAAGUGUGGGUAUCAAACAGGAUUAGAUACCCUGGUAGUCCACACGGUAAACGAUGGAUACUCGCUGUUGGCGAUAUACUGUCAGCGGCCAAGCGAAAGCAUUAAGUAUCCCACCUGGGGAGUACGCCGGCAACGGUGAAACUCAAAGGAAUUGACGGGGCCCGCACAAGCGGUGGAGCAUGUGGUUAAUUCGAAGC
rnacentral:rRNA from 1 species